AGUGAACGCUGGCGGUAGGCCUAACACAUGCGAGUCGAACGGCAGCACAGUAAGAGCUUGCACUUACGGGUGGCGAGUGGCGGACGGGUGAGGAAUACAUCGGAAUCUACUUUUUCGUGGGGGAUAACGUAGGGAAACUUACGCUAAUACCGCAUACGACCUACGGGUGAAAGCAGGGGAUCUUCGGACCUUGCGCGAUUGAAUGAGCCGAUGUCGGAUUAGCUAGUUGGCGGGGUAAAGGCCCACCAAGGCGACGAUCCGUAGCUGGUUUGAGAGGAUGAUCAGCCACACUGGAACUGAGACACGGUCCAGACUCCUACGGGAGGCAGCAGUGGGGAAUAUUGGACAAUGGGCGCAAGCCUGAUCCAGCCAUACCGCGUGGGUGAAGAAGGCCUUCGGGUUGUAAAGCCCUUUUGUUGGGAAAGAAAAGCAGCAGGUUAAUACCCCGCUGUUCUGACGGUACCCAAAGAAUAAGCACCGGCUAACUUCGUG
rnacentral:rRNA from 1 species